rnacentral:lncRNA from 1 species
UUGGUAAGAAGUAUAAGCUACGUCUAUUGAGAGAAUAAUCAGGUGGUCUAAGAUGCAAAAAACAUUAUUAGGCCCCGAAUUUGGUCAAUAAGACAGCAACUUGGUUUGCUUCUUUAGAUAUAUUUUCCUCAAUUUUAACUUAUCUAUGUCUUUGAGCCUAAAGAUGAAAAAUAUUGCUUGGAAGAAAAAGACUACUAUUUUUCCUAUACCUGAAUAAUUUUUAUUCCUAUCUUGCAUGCCAAAGCCAAGAGAGGAAGAGAAACUGAAAGAGAGAUUUACCCCAAUAAAAAUGGAAAUCAUGCCAAGAGAAGAGAAGAGAAGAACCCAUCGGUCAUCCUACACAGAGACAAGGGAGAGAAAGGAAGAGGAGAGAGAAACUGGGCGAACGCAAGAAGCCAUACUUCUUCGCUCUUCUAUCCAUAACCGGAUGAAGUGCGAGCAAGAAAGGAUAAAAGCGCAGGUGCUUGCUUAGAGAGAGAGAGAGAGCCCAGUAUUUGACUCGGAGAUUGAGAUGUACCAUAGAGAGAGAAAAAAGCUCAGGCGGUUGCUCACGAAGAGAGAGAGAGACUCGAAGAUUGAGAUAAAGAAAACCCAUAUCCCUUGCUUCCCGACCUCAAAGUUGCCUGGCACAGCACAAGUAGCAGCUCAGCUGCCACCUCCCCAAUUCUGUCUCCCAUUACAUUUCCCGUCCCGUCAAAGGGCGUGACCACCGCCUCUUCUAUAGCGCCCCUCACCCUGCAAAUUCUCAAUUUUUUCCUCCUUUUUUUUUGCCCCAAACCCCAAAUAUCUAGGGUUUCCUCCUUUGAGACGAGAGUUUCGGUUUCAGAAUCUACAGUUCCUGUUUCAUUUUCAUUUCUUUCUUCUUUCCUGUUUCAUUUUCAUUUCUUUCUUCUUCUUCUUUUGAUAUGAAAGAGAGAGAGUUAUUUCUUCUCUUUUUUUAUUAUGGUUAUUGAUUUCAGUUGAUGUAUUGUAUAGAGAGAGGGAGUGAGACAUGUGAACAUUAAGAAUUAAAGCGGAUUUUGCUUCUCUUUCUUGGGCCUAUUUUUAUUUUAGAGUGAGGGAGUAAUUUGCAGUUGGAGAGAAUGAAAUUAGGAGUUAAAAGAGAGGUAGUAAUUUGCAGUCAGAGAGAAAAUGAAUCAGGAGUUAAUGAGAGAG